rnacentral:rRNA from 1 species
UACGGAGGGUGCAAGCGUUAUCCGGAUUCACUGGGCGUAAAGGGUCCGUAGGCGGUGUGGCAAGUCGGGAGUGAAAUCUCUGGGCUUAACUCAGAGGCUGCUUCCGAAACUGCCGUGCUAGAGUGUGAGAGAGGCGAGUGGAAUUGCGGGUGUAGCGGUGAAAUGCGUAGAUAUCCGCAGGAACAUCCGAGGCGAAAGCGGCUCGCUGGAUCACAACUGACGCUGAGGGACGAAAGCUAGGGGAGCAAACAGG